GCCGUGGUAGCUCAGUGGUAGAGCAUUCCCCUGAAGAGGGAUUGGUCGGGUGUUCGAUUCACCCCCGCGGCACCA
rnacentral:tRNA from 6 species